GGAUUAGCUCAGCUGGGAGAGCAUCUGCCUUACAAGCAGAGGGUCGGCGGUUCGAGCCCGUCAUCCUCCACCA
rnacentral:tRNA from 2 species